GACGCCCACGUGCGUGGAGAGCAGCUAGAUCAAGCGAAAGAUCAUGCCCCUUGUUGCCAUGGUAUCCUCUCUGGUAGCAUUGAUGAAGGAUCAGGCAAGACGGUCAUACUGCAGAAUCCAAGACUGCCUGCAUCAUACAACCUCCAGAAAUGAAAGAAGAGGAGUUGAAAAAUGGGCACUUGUUAGCAAGUGGAUAGACACGGAGAGGGCAGAGAGAGUGGAAGGAGCAUGUACUGUCCAUCUAGGAGAUGUCUGUCGUCUGCA